GGACUACAGGGGUUUCUAAUCCUGUUUGCUACCCACGCUUUCGCUCCUCAGCGUCAGUUCCGGCCCAGACCACCGCCUUCGCCACUGGUGUUCCUCCUGAUAUCUGCGCAUUUCACCGCUACACCAGGAAUUCCGUGGUCCCCUACCGGACUCAAGCCAUGGCAGUAUCGAGUGGCCGCUCCAGGUUGAGCCUGAAGUUUUCACACCCGACUUGCCAAGCCGCCUACGAGCUCUUUACGCCCAAUAAAUCCGGACAACGCUUGCCCCCUACGUAUUACCGCGGCUGCUGGCAC
rnacentral:rRNA from 1 species